CCGCCCCUCUCACUCUCGUUCUUCCUUCUCAGGCAGUUUCGCCGGUUCUCACCGCCUCCGGCGCGGUGGUUACGUUCGUCUCUCUCUCCUAUCACCUCUCUGCCCAGACCCCCUAGCCCCUACCCCUCGCCUCUCCCUCUCUCUCAUCACCUUUUACCCUCUCACCCACCCCCAAAUCUAUAGCCCUAAUUCGUCGCCGCCACCCUCGCUCCUCCAAUCGCCGCCACCAUGCGUCGGAGCCCUACAAGGCAGGCCAGCUCUCUCCCUCUGCACAUCUCUCCCUCGUCAUCUGCCUCUUAUUGCCUUUCUCUUCGGCCCUGCUAGUCGUCUCCGCCGUGAAUUGUCGUCUUCGGCCCAGCCUCCGCGUCCGCCGCAAUUCAUCGCCUACUCCACGAUUCACCGGAGAUCCCGUCCACUUCUAAGUCUCCGCCGCCGCCGCCGCCUAAUUCUCCGCUAGACACCGUCGCUGCUAGAUUUUCUGUAUUUUUUUCUUUCUAUUUUCUGUAUUUUUUUCUACAUCUCCAGAUUUCUGCAACUAGCUCAUCUUAAUAUUCCCACCGAUUCCUUCCUCCGCUCUGCCACCGUCGCCGACUUCCAUGCUGCCCGCUUCCGUGACCCCGCCUGUAUUUCCUUUUCCCAUUACCUUCUCAAUUACAAGGGUUUCUUCGCUUGCCAGAGGGAUUGUCCAAGAGAACAUGAGUGUUGGACAUCGUGAUGCUUUACUUCUUUUCCUUACACUUUGUAAGAUGGGUAUGAGGGAGGAUAAUGAUGAGCAAAACUCGCGUUCUAUCUUUGGAGCUUCUGCAGG